rnacentral:rRNA from 1 species
GACGAGCGGCGGACGGGUGAGUAAUGUCUGGGAAACUGCCUGAUGGAGGGGGAUAACUACUGGAAACGGUAGCUAAUACCGCAUAACGUCGCAAGACCAAAGUGGGGGACCUUCGGGCCUCAUGCCAUCAGAUGUGCCCAGAUGGGAUUAGCUGGUAGGUGGGGUAACGGCUCACCUAGGCGACGAUCCCUAGCUGGUCUGAGAGGAUGACCAGCCACACUGGAACUGAGACACGGUCCAGACUCCUACGGGAGGCAGCAGUGGGGAAUAUUGCACAAUGGGCGCAAGCCUGAUGCAGCCAUGCCGCGUGUGUGAAGAAGGCCUUCGGGUUGUAAAGCACUUUCAGCGGGGAGGAAGGCGGUGAGGUUAAUAACCUUAUCGAUUGACGUUACCCGCAGAAGAAGCACCGGCUAACUCCGUGCCAGCAGCCGCGGUAAUACGGAGGGUGCAAGCGUUAAUCGGAAUUACUGGGCGUAAAGCGCACGCAGGCGGUCUGUCAAGUCGGAUGUGAAAUCCCCGGGCUCAACCUGGGAACUGCAUUCGAAAACUGGCAGGCUAGAGUCUUG